rnacentral:hammerhead_ribozyme from 1 species
AUCCAGUUGACCAGUUCCAAAUAGGACGAAAUAAGCGUCUUGGAU